rnacentral:tRNA from 2 species
GCCCGGGUGGUGAAAUAGGUAGACACAGGGGAUUUAAAAUCCCCCGCCCCCAAAGGCGUGCCAGUUCGAGUCUGGCUCCGGGCACCA